rnacentral:rRNA from 1 species
GUGUCAGCCGCCGCGGUAAUACGGAGGGGGUUAGCGUUGUUCGGAAUCACUGGGCGUAAAGCGCGCGUAGGCGGACUAUUAAGUCAGGGGUGAAAUCCCGGGGCUCAACCCCGGAACUGCCUUUGUUACUGGUAGUCUAGAGUUCGAGAGAGGUGAGUGGAAUUCCGAGUGUAGGGGUGAAAUUCGUAGAUAUUCGGAGGAACACCAGUGGCGAAGGCGGCUCACUGGCUCGAUACUGACGCUGAGGUGCGAAAGUGUGGGGAGCAAACAGGAUUAGAUACCCUGGUAGUCCACACCGUAAACGAUGAAUGCCAGUCGUCGGGUAGCAUGCUAUUCGGUGACACACCUAACGGAUUAAGCAUUCCGCCUGGGGAGUACGGUCGCAAGAUUAAAACUCAAAGGAAUUGACGGGG